rnacentral:rRNA from 1 species
AUUGAACGCUGGCGGCAUGCCUUACACAUGCAAGUCGAACGGCAGCACGGGAGCUUGCUCCUGGUGGCGAGUGGCGAACGGGUGAGUAAUAUAUCGGAACGUACCCUAGAGUGGGGGAUAACGCAGCGAAAGUUGCGCUAAUACCGCAUACGAUCUACGGAUGAAAGUGGGGGAUCGCAAGACCUCAUGCUCAUGGAGCGGCCGAUAUCUGAUUAGCUAGUUGGUGGGGUAAAGGCCUACCAAGGCAUCGAUCAGUAGCUGGUCUGAGAGGACGACCAGCCACACUGGAACUGAGACACGGUCCAGACUCUACGGAGGCAGCAGUGGGGAAUUUUGGACAAUGGGGGCAACCCUGAUCCAGCAAUGCCGCGUGAGUGAAGAAGGCUCGGUUG